CGGGUCGCAUGCUAUUCUUUGAAGCUGUUUUCAAUGAAAGAUUAACGAGGCCGCGGUGACUCACCGGAUCGCAAUCACGAAAUCAUACCUCACAAAUGAAAACCACCAUCACUGGAACUGAUGUUGUCGUCAAAGCCGUGAGUGAGAAGAACCGCAGGAGUACCCAGGCUUUCUGCAUGCUCGCUGGCUGGUGAUAAGUGCGUAAGGAGACUGGACCCAGCAGCAUUCAACGAUGGAGCAUCGUGGCUAGCCGAGACCCAAUCAAUCAAUUUUAGAGUAUGAGUCAUCCACUGCGGCAGAUUAGCCGGGUCAGGAAAGGUCGAGACACAUCAUUCCGCACGUUGCUGCAAGUGCGGGAUGCGAGCUUCUUUGCAGUCAUCAGACCUGUAGGAUCUUGACAUCAAACUCCUCAGCUUUUCACAAC